CUAGGUCCAUGGAGAUUCAAGGAAUCGACUCUAUUGGAGUCGAUUCCCUAAUCUACGGCACUCAAUCUGGCUGUCAACAAAGCUGCUCAUGCGGCCGUUUUCGCCAAUUUCAGCUCAAAAGGAGCCCAAAUGUUCUAGAGCUGCUGAACAUCUUUAUAUGUAAGUAAAUUUUUGACUGAUGAGCAAAAAAUAUUUGAGUGGCAGUUCUUUAAAAAAAAGAUAAGUGGGAUGUAGAUAUGGAGAUUUAUAUAUUUUUAAAUUCAAACUUUAUUAAUUUUGAAUU